UACGUAGGGUGCAAGCGUUGUCCGGAAUUAUUGGGCGUAAAGAGCUCGUAGGCGGUUUUGUUGCGUCGGCUGUGAAAAUCCCCGAGGCUCAACCUCGGGUCUGCAGUCGAUACGAGCAAAACUAGAGUGUUUGCAGGGGGAGACUGGAAUUCCUGGUGUAGUGGUGAAAAUGCGCAGAUAUCAGGGAGGAACACCGGUGGC
rnacentral:rRNA from 1 species